CCUACGGGAGGCAGCAGUGGGGAAUAUUGCGCAAUGGGCGAAAGCCUGAUGCAGCGACGCCGCGUGAGGGAUGAAGGUCUUCGGAUCGUAAACCUCUGUCAGCAGGGAAGAACGGUCACUGUGCUAAUCAGCAGUGAAUUGACGGUACCUGCAAAGGAAGCACAGGCUAUCUCCGUGCCAGCAGCCGCGGUAAUACGGAGGGUGCGAGCGUUAAUGGGAAUUACUGGGCGUAAAGCGCUCGCAGGCGGGAUGUCAAGUCAAGGGAGAAAUCCCCGCGCUCCACGUGGGAACUGCCUUUGAAACUGGCAAAGUGGAGUGUGUGGGAGGAUAGUGGAGUUCCAGGUGUAGGAGGGCAAGCCGUAGAUAUCUGGAGGAACAUCAGUGGCGAAGGCGACUAUCUGGCACAUAACUGACGCUGAGGAGCGAAAGCGUGGGUAGCAAACAGGAUUAGAUACCCCAGUAGUC
rnacentral:rRNA from 1 species